rnacentral:lncRNA from 1 species
CCUGCACCCUGAAUAUGUUCAUGAGCAUAGAAUCAUGUCAAACUCAAACACAUAUUUAUAUCAGUUUUUAAUUAACCAAUGAUGACUCCAAUGAAGAAGUAUUAGAAACUCUUUCUAAUCUCUUUCCUACUUUUAGUUAAAAGAUUUUUUCUGAGUCAUCUAGGAAUGAGAAUACACAUGAUGCGAUCUCCUCUUACUAGGAGUGAUCAAUUCUAUGUUGACCUACUCA